AACCUAGCACAAAAGAAAAACAAUGCAACUGUUAGUGUUGCAUAGGAAGAAGGCAAAGGAAAAAUAGUUGAACGGUAGAAGUAUAUAAAGGAAGUUCUACUAACAAAAGUAAAGAAUAUAAAGAUGCAAUAAGAGAAUAUUAUAUACCUACAAUAUUUUGUUUUUUAUUUAUUUAUUUUGGAAUGAGCAAGUAUUCAUUGGAAUUUAUCAACAAAAGCUAUUGAUAGUAUCAUUGUGGGGAAGAUACCAAUCUUUAUCUGCAAGGUACAAAAAAAGGUGAUUAAGCGAGCAAAAAUUGUAGGACAAUACCCCACCCCCUAACCAGCAAUCAAUAUCCGGAUUGGGAGUCUCCGGGUUGUGCACAGCUUGUAACUGGCAAGUUAAAGCAGUUGCAGUGGUUAUGCCUGAACAACUGUCUGUAGCAUAGCGAAGGGGCUUGGGUGUGUUCGCCAACAGUUAAUAAAUGAUGGAUCAACUGCUCGCUUUGGAACUGUGUUGCUCCCACAGCUAUCUAUGCUUCUAUGCUUUAUUUGUGGUCUCGAUCUCAAUCAAGAGAGUUCAAUAGUAACAAGGAACGGGUAAUCUAUAUAAACCAGAUCAAAGUAAACUGGAUAGACUUAUCCCCCUCUAUGCUCUUGCUUGUCACAGAACUGUGCUACGCUACAAAUAGUGAAGGUAAGCACGCUCUGGAAUGGGCACAUUUAUUAGGGUUGUGCCUGAACAACUGCUUGUAGCGGUGCUCUGCUUACAAUGUAAUGACUUGUUGAUCGUUGAGCAGCUUGAGAAAUUCAACUCUGCACUGUUACAACUUUCAAGAAUACAUUACACAGAUGGCUUCGGUAGAUUGCAGACAGAAAACGGCAAUGGGUUUCCCAAGGCUACAAGUUAGUUGGUCACAUUGAAUGGGAAUUGAGUACUUAAUGCCCCUGUCUCUGCCUUAUUCAAAAUGGGAUUUCUGUGUAUCAGCCUGGGAAGAUCAGAGAUUAAUUUGAUUUCUGUUUCUGCACUGCUGGUCAUAUACUUCAGGUCUGAGAAUUAUUUUAGAGCUGACAGAAAUGGGUGCUCAUAUGAGUUCCAAUGCUGCAGCAGUAUUGGUUACUUACUUAUUUCUUAUUGUUGGGGUACAUGGGGAGGAACCCCAAGUUCCUGCUCUUUUUAUUUUUGGAGAUUCAAUUACAGACAAUGGCAAUAACAAUUACAUAACUACUCUUGCCAAAGCCAACUUUUUCCCAUACGGUAUAGAUUUUGAAGGCGGCGGCGCUACAGGAAGGUUUUGUAAUGGCAUGACCACUAUUGAUGUUUUAGGUUUGGACUUCUACUGCAAUUUCUUUUCUUCUAUCAGAUAAAGCUGUGACUUUUAGGGUUUUGCAGGUCAAAUUUUAACCAUAUAGAUUUUAGAAUUUGCAUCAUGAUGUUUUAGGUUUGGACUUUUAGUGUAAUUGCUUUUAUUUUAUCAGCUAAAGCUGUGAUUUGAUGCACAUUCAUUUCAAAACUGAAAACCCCUCUGAAAAUUAUAUGGGGUGAUUGGGACAGUCCGCCUGUUUACAAAUAAGCAUGUUAGUAUGCAAGUGCACUUCACAGGCAUUAUAGAGGAAGAAGCCGGAAAACAAGUCAGGUAAGGAGAGAAAAAUGACCGAAAAAUCUGACGUUUUGUAUGUUCUGAACCGGGUAAUUCCCAAUAUGACAUGGGCCAUGAAUGUAUUUGGAAAGAAGCAUUUUUCCUUUGAUGGAUGUAUUUAAUUCUGUCAUUUGGAUGAUGUUUUUAGCCGAAUUUUGUCAGUUCUGGUAUUAGACAUAGCAGAAAUCAUGAUUGGAAAUUUUCAAUGUUUUUAAAUCCAUUUCAUGUGUUUUAUACAAAACGUUGGCUUAUUGGUGAAGAAAAUGUCGUCUAUUGCAACUAUAGUAGCUCCCCACCCAUCCCGGGCCCCGGCCAGUUGAAUCAGCACCAAAGCAAAGCAAUAGCAUCGGAAUAAGCAGCACCCAUAGCGCUAAGCACGUUCUGUCCUGCUUGUAUGGGUCCCUGCCUCCCGGGGGGAAGAGCAGAGGCAGCUGAAGAGAAAAUUAAAUUUUUAUUUACAUUUGCCUUUAAAAUUAAAAAUUAUCCAUGUCAUAUAAGCUUAACAUUCUAUUUCAGGUUUACCUGUAUGAAGAGAAAAUGACAGGGGGUGAGCAGUUUGAUCCAAUCGGCAGAAUUUGCUUGGAAUCAACUCCAAUUUCUGUGCUGGGUGAAGCUGGUUUAUUGGCAGAGUAGCGUUUGAUAUCACCUUGUAUUUGCAGCGGAACACAAGCUUAUGUACAUCUGAAAUGUUUGAGAAGGUGGCAGAAUGCUGUCUUGACGUCGACGACACCUGGAGCCAGUCGUACAGCUGCUAUAAUCUGCACAGGCCCUCUGCAUUGGAGUUGGAACAGUGUCUGAGAAAAAAAUUUUGGGAAUUGAUGGUUUUGAUUAGAUUUUUGAAGAAGAUAUCCAGAAAGCCAGAUUUCCUUAUAACUCAUUUGAUUUUGAAUUGGAUGUUAAAUAUUCUGCAUUUCCUCCAGCUGAAGUGGAUAGAACCCUAAAGAUUGGGGGUGUUGCUGCUGUGCAUCUCUCACUUGAUGAACCGGAUCUGAAUCUGAAUACCCUACUUAAGCUACAAUUACCCAAUUUCAAAAUUGUCUAUCUGAGAAAAUUUGAUGCAAUCCUAAUCAGGGAAAAUCAUGUUAAGGAUCGACUGGGCUUUUACAUGUACAUGAUUUCUAAAAAAUAUAAUAACGCACAGUAAUUAAUAUGCUAAUAUUGAGAAAGAACAAAGGCUUACUAUUUGGCCUAUUUUCUAAAAUCUAAUAACUUUGUAGAUAUGUUGUGCAUAAGAUGGUUGUUUAUUUCUUAUAAAAUGUACAUAUCGGCUAAUAGAUUCUGUGGAAAUUAGCCAAUUGAUGAAAAAGGCGAUUAAAAAUUGAAAAAUGCUCUGGUUAUGUUACCAAGUAUUUCUUUGACCAUCUUAUUCCUUCUCCAGUAAAUAACUCCUUAUUCGUUCUCAAUCCGUUGAUCGAGCUAAUGGAUAUCGUUUACACUAAACUAUAGAAGAGCUACCUAACUGACGAGUCUGAUUGAUGAAUAUGGUAUCAGAAUCGAUAUGUCUGUAUGCAGUCAAAUACCUGCUGGUACUUAUGCUCCCUCUACGCUUAGCCGUCAAAUGGGGACUCUGCCUCAACUAUAUUGUGGGGGGCGAUAGCUGUUAUGGGUCAAUGAACAGACUAAGCCAGCCUUCUUAGGCAAACAAACUUGUUAACUGUGUACAGCCAUCUGCAAACAUGUUCAUACCAGCUUAUCAAGUUAUCAACACAUGUGUUUGUGUUUAUUAAGCAUGCAUGAUAAUCAUUAGCAUAGGCAAAGAAUAAUGUAUUAAAUACUAAUGUGAGCAAACAAAAUGUCAUUGACAAUGAGAAUUUCAAGUUUGGAUUCACAUGAACGAAGUAAAUUAAAAAAAAAAUGUGUUCAAUUAUUACGAUCGAAAUAGUAAUGUUAACAUUGCCUUUGCAGGUACCAAUCUACUCGUGCAGGCAUAUCUUUGAAAGUAUCAGUGUAGCCUUUGCUAAAAUACUUAAUGAUGACAAAUCCAGAAAAGCAUGGCCCUUGAAACUCAAACACAUGUAUGUUGUACCAGCAUAAAAAGUAAAGCUACGAAGGGCAUUUUCUACUCUACCGGGUAGUCAAAAUUAACUCUUAUAUGCAAAACAGAGGAAUAAACAUAGUUUCUUAGGUGCUCACCUAGCCUGUCAAGCGAGACACCAAUUUGGAGUGUGAGACAUUCGCAAAUGAUCUAGGCUGUAAAUUUCUACCAAAACGCUCCACUACAGGAGUACAUAGGAGUAAACGAUCUUCGGUUCUGUGUCAAACAAUUUUAGUGCCUGCAUAAGAUCUCACUCAAACCGAAACAACAGCACAAAUAAAAAUAAAUCUAAAAUGGAUAUGCACAAAACCCUUGCGGAAAUAAAUCAAAACAAGUUACAGCUAAGGAAAGCUAUAUUUAAAGCCAGACACGGAACCAUAGAAGGCCAAGGUGAAUAAAAAAAUCGUUGCUAAUUAAUAGGAAAAACAGGGGCCAACUUACCAUCAUCCAGAUUCAUUAUAAUCCUAAGGCUUUCUAAUCAAUCACAGUUCUGUCUUAUUUAUUUUUUUCCCUCUUUCUAGCUUUGAUGGAUGAGGCGCGUUGUUAGGGUUUACAUUCCACCUGUGGUGUUGAUUGGUGUGGCUGCCUGCAUGCGGGUUGUGUUUUCAUCCUGAGUCGUAUUGCUGGCAACGACCGCUUGAAUCAAUUUUGUUCGAAUCACUGCAUUGCUGUUUUCGUUUGCGCAAUUCGCUUCCAACAAGAGAGAACCGAAGAUCAUUUACUCCUGUGUGCUCCUGUAGUGGUGCGUUUUGGUAGAAAUUUACAGCCUAGAUCAUAUGAGAAUGUCUCGCACUCCGAAUUGGUGUCUCGCUUGACAGGCUAGGAAUCCAUCAAAAGCUGGGAUUUGUAAGCAGGUGGAAGGUGGACAAGCUAUAAUUCUCUACACUGGUGUGUGUCUCGUGGCUCUUGGUGUUGGAGGCAUUAAGGGCUCUUUGCCUGUUCAUGGGGUAGAACCAAAUUUCUUCAACUAGCAUUUUGUUCAACAUUACAGUAAGGGUUGAUUCUAGGGAUUUGUCCUCAGAAUCAAAUAAGAGUUUGUUUGCAUGAUGAAAUAGCUACAAAUUUAGUCAUCAGGUUUUAAUUAUUAGCCACUUUUGUGAAUGUUCGUACUCCAUAAUUUUUUAUCUUCAAAGGGAAAAGAACCAAGAGAUAACAACAAUAGGUCUAAUUGCUAUCAGCAGUACAAAUUGGACCUUUUUCAGGUCCAACCGCUAGUUAUAUUAUA